rnacentral:rRNA from 1 species
UACGUAGGGUGCAAGCGUUAAUCGGAAUUACUGGGCGUAAAGCGUGCGCAGGCGGUUUUGUAAGUCUGUCGUGAAAGCCCCGGGCUCAACCUGGGAAUUGCGAUGGAGACUGCAAGGCUUGAAUCUGGCAGAGGGGGGUAGAAUUCCACGUGUAGCAGUGAAAUGCGUAGAGAUGUGGAGGAAUACCGAUGGCGAAGGCAGCCCCCUGGGAUAAUACUGACGCUCAUGCACGAAAGCGUGGGGAGCAAACAGG